rnacentral:rRNA from 1 species
UGAGUGAAGCAGGGACACGGCAAAGAGGGCAUGCAUACGACUGGAGGUUGUAUGUACAAGCUUGAAGUGGGGCCAGGGAGGCAAAUCCCUCUGGCUAAUAACUGCGGAAAGUGAUGUGGAGCCAAUAGAGGCGAAGAUGUCUAAUGAGCUGUCAAGAAAAGCUGCUAACGAGAGCUAUAGUACCCGUACCGCAAACUGACACAGGUGGGCAAGGAGAGAAUCCUAAGGCGCGCAAGAGAACCCUUGUUAAGGAACUCGGCAAAAUGACCCCGUAACUUAGGGAGAAGGGGUGUCGUUUUGGGUGUUAAAGCCUGAGACGAUCACAGAAAACAGAUCCAAGCGACUGUUUAGCAAAAACACAGGUCUCUGCUAAGUCGUAAGACGAAGUAUAGGGCUGACGCCUGCCCGGUGCUGGAAGGUCAAGGGGAAGACUUAGUCCUUUAAGGACGAAGGUUAGAACCUAAGCCCCAGUAAACGGCGGCCGUAACUAUAACGGUCCUAAGGUAGCGAAAUUCCUUGUCGGGUAAGUUCCGACCUGCACGAAUGGCGUAACGACUUGGAUGCUGUCUCAACAAGGGACUUGGCGAAAUUGAAAUGCCUGUGAAGAUGCAGGCUACCUGCGACAGGACGGAAAGACCCCGUGGAGCUUUACUGCAGCCUGAUAUUGGGUCUUGGCACAGAAUGUACAGGAUAGGUGGGAGGCAAUGAAACUGGCACGCCAGUGUCAGUGGAGCCGCUGGUGGGAUACCACCCUUUCUGUGGCGGGAUUCUAACUGGAGGCCAUUAUCUGGUCACAGGACAUUGUCAGGCGGGCAGUUUGACUGGGGCGGUCGCCUCCUAAAGAGUAACGGAGGCGCCCAAAGGUUCCCUCGGUGCGGAUGGAAAUCGCACGUGAGAGUGUAAAGGCAUAAGGGAGCUUAACUGCAAGAGAUACAGCUCGAGCAGGUACGAAAGUAGGGCUUAGUGAUCCGGCGGUAUAGUGUGGAAUUGCCGUCGCUCAACGGAUAAAAGUUACCCCGGGGAUAACAGGCUUAUCUCCCCCAAGAGUUCACAUCGACGGAGGUUUGGCACCUCGAUGUCGGCUCGUCGCAUCCUGGAGCUGAAGCAGGUUCCAAGGGUUGGGCUGUUCGCCCAUUAAAGCGGUACGCGAGCUGGGUUCAGAACGUCGUGAGACAGUUCGGUCCCUAUCCGUCGCAGGCGCAAGAUACUUGAGGGGAGCUGUCCCUAGUACGAGAGGACCGGGAUGGACAUACCGCUGGUGCAUCAGUUGUUCCGCCAGGAGCAUAGCUGGGUAGCCACGUAUGGUAGUGAUAAACGCUGAAAGCAUCUAAGCGUGAAACCUACCCCAAGAUAAGGUAUCUCACUCCGUUAAGGAGGUAAGAUCCCUGAAAGAUGAUCAGGUAGAUAGGCCGGAGGUGUAAGUCUAGCAAUAGAUUCAGCUGACCGGUACUAAUAGAUCGAGGUCUUCUCA